rnacentral:tRNA from 1 species
CAGAGUAUAGCUUAGGCAGAAAAGCACCUCCCUUACACCGAGAAAACAUCCGUGCAAGCCGGAUUACCCUGA